rnacentral:rRNA from 1 species
UACAGGGGGUGCAAACGUUGCUCGGAAUCAUUGGGCGUAAAGCGCACGUAGGCGGUUCGUUAUGUCGGAUGUGAAAGCCCUUGGCUUAACCGAGGAAGUGCAUCCGAAACUGGCGAGCUAGAGUACGAAAGAGGGUCGCGGAAUUCCCGGUGUAGAGGUGAAAUUCGUAGAUAUCGGGAGGAACACCGGUGGCGAAGGCGGCGAUCUGGGUCGAUACUGACGCUGAGGAGCGAAAGCAUGGGGAGCGAACAGG